rnacentral:rRNA from 1 species
ACUCCUACGGGAGGCAGCAGUGGGAAUAUUGGACAAUGGGCGCAAGCCUGAUCCAGCCAUGCCGCGUGAGUGAUGAAGGCCUUAGGUUGUAAAGCUCUUUUACCAGGGAUGAUAAUGACAGUACCUGGAGAAUAAGCUCCGGCUAACUCCGUGCCAGCAGCCGCGGUAAUACGGAGGGAGCUAGCGUUGUUCGGAAUUACUGGGCGUAAAGCGCGCGUAGCGGCCAUUCAAGUCAGAGGUGAAAGCCCGCAG